ACGGAAGGCAGCAGUGGGGAAUAUUGGGCAAUGGGCGAAAGCCUGACCCAGCGACGCCGCGUGAGUGAAGAAGUAUUUCGGUAUGUAAAGCUCUAUCAGCAAGGAAGAAAAUGACGGUACUUGACUAAGAAGCCCCGGCUAACUACGUGCCAGCAGCCGCGGUAAUACGUAGGGGGCAAGCGUUAUCCGGAUUUACUGGGUGUAAAGGGAGCGUAGACGGCAUAGCAAGUCUGAAGUGAAAUGCAUGGGCUCAACCCAUGAACUGCUUUGGAAACUGUUAAGCUAGAGUGCAGGAGAGGUAAGUGGAAUUCCUAGUGUAGCGGUGAAAUGCGUAGAUAUUAGGAGGAACACCAGUGGCGAAGGCGGCUUACUGGACUGUAACUGACGUUGAGGCUCGAAGGCGUGGGGAGCAAACAGGAUUAGAUACCCUGGUA
rnacentral:rRNA from 1 species